AGUCCAAUUCUUUUCAUAAAAAAAAAGUCGCAACCCAUGUAGUAAAAUGGGUUCAGUUUGAACAAAAAAAAUUCGCACACACCAUUAGUGCGCAGCCCUCCCUCUCUCUCGGCCCUCUCUCCUCACAGAUCGAGCUCCGGCACAUGCAGCAGCCGGUCUCCGGCCACCGCCGCCGCCGCUUCUUCUUCUCUCUUCUUCGUCCGCACAAAACCUUCCCUUCUCCUUGUCUUUCACUCUCUCGGUUCUCGCCGGAAAUUCGUCCUCAACCCACCAAUUCCGGCCAGCACGACGUCACCACCUCCGUCGUUCCCUCCGGCGGUGACACGGCCGCUAGCCGCGUCUCCACCUCCCUCUCUCUACAAGAAUUCGUCAACACUCACACAACACGGCAGAUCUCUCUCUCUCACAACAAAUCCUCUCGCCUCUCCACCAUAGAGAACCACCGCCGCCGGAGCAAGCGGCGAUAGUCACUCAUCACCCUCUCAACUCUCCCUCUCCCAUCUCCUGCAGAAUUCGCCGCCGCCGCAGCUAGCCGGAGCAAAGACGACAGCCACUGACACCAGUACUCCGUUCGGCGACCGCAGCAGACCAGCCGCACCGCCGUGCCCUAACCUCCACCCAGACCAGCCCCUCUCGCUCUCCCUGAUCGUGGCGGAGCAGCAGCGGCACCACCGUCGUGCCCUGCCUCCCUCCACCUCUCGAAGGAUAAAAUGUGAAAGAAGAUGGAGAAGACUCAAUCAAAGAUUACCUUGAAUGCUAGGAGAAAAAAAACAAGUGAUUGAAGAUUCUUUGUUUUCCUUGGGUAGUUUGAGAUGUAGAAAUGUAGAAUGAUGAAUGCUGAUAGUGAUAAUAUUAUGCCCAAGUUAAUAGCUUUGUAGAGAUAUCAAAGUGGAAUGAGUGCGUUUGGUGGAUUGGUGGAGAAUGUGAUGCAGCCCGAACAGAGCCAAACUCGCGCCAGAACAGAGCUAAACUCACUAGAGCAGAACAUGCCAGAGCAGAGCAGAAUGGCCAGAGUAGAGCAUAGAAGAAUGCCAAAGCAGAAUUGAAGUCUAGCAGAAUGGCCAGAGCAGCAUAGAAGAAUGCCAGAGCAGAACUGAAGUCCAGAGAAGCCAGAGCAGAGCUGAAGUCCAGAGAAGCGGAGGCUUCCAGAGCCAGAGCAGAGCUGAAGUCCAGAGCAGAGCGGACUUCCAGAGUCAGAGCAGAACUGAAGUCCAUAGCAGAGCGGACUUUCCAGAGCUGACUUCAGUCUAGAGCAGAGCGGACUUUCCAGAUCAGAGCUAAGUUACAGAGUUGACUUAGUUCAAAACAGACUAUGUUCCAGAGCUGGAGUCCCAGAGCAGACUAUAGUUCCAGAGCUGGCUUUCUCGCCAGAUUUGACCAAGCUUGUUGAACAAGUUUUCUUUGUUUCCUUGUUUUUGAGUUUCCUUUAUUUUACGUUAUUUCCUUCAUUAGAUUAGGGUUUAGCUUCGCCUAUAUAUAAGGCUUUUGCAUGUUGAACAAGGACCCAACUUUUGAUAUAUACAAUUUGUGAGUUUAUUCUU